rnacentral:rRNA from 1 species
ACGCUGGCGGCGUGCCUAAUACAUGCAAGUAGAACGCUGAAGCUUGGUGCUUGCACCGAGCGGAUGAGUUGCGAACGGGUGAGUAACGCGUAGGUAACCUGCCUCUUAGCGGGGGAUAACUAUUGGAAACGAUAGCUAAUACCGCAUAAAAGUCGACAUCGCAUGAUGUUGAUUUGAAAGGUGCAAAUGCAUCACUAAGAGAUGGACCUGCGUUGUAUUAGCUAGUUGGUGAGGUAACGGCUCACCAGGGCGACGAUACAUAGCCGACCUGAGAGGGUGAUCGGCCACACUGGGACUGAGACACGGCCCAGACUCCUACGGGAGGCAGCAGUAGGGAAUCUUCGGCAAUGGACGGAAGUCUGACCGAGCAACGCCGCGUGAGUGAAGAAGGUUUUCGGAUCGUAAAGCUCUGUUGUAAGGGAAGAACGAGUGUGAGAGUGGAAAGUUCACACUGUGACGGUAACUUACCAGAAAGGGACGGCUAACUACGUGCCAGCAGCCGCGGUAAUACGUAGGUCCCGAGCGUUAUCCGGAUUUAUUGGGCGUAAAGCGAGCGCAGGCGGUUAGAUAAGUCUGAAGUUAAAGGCUGUGGCUUAACCAUAGUACGCUUUGGAAACUGUUUAACUUGAGUGCAGAAGGGGAGAGUGGAAUUCCAUGUGUAGCGGUGAAAUGCGUAGAUAUAUGGAGGAACACCGGUGGCGAAAGCGGCUCUCUGGUCUGUAACUGACGCUGAGGCUCGAAAGCGUGGGGAGCAAACAGGAUUAGAUACCCUGGUAGUCCACGCCGUAAACGAUGAGUGCUAGGUGUUGGGUCCUUUCCGGGACUCAGUGCCGCAGCUAACGCAUUAAGCACUCCGCCUGGGGAGUACGACCGCAAGGUUGAAACUCAAAGGAAUUGACGGGGGCCCGCACAAGCGG